GCCGACCCCUCGUGCGGCGUCACCUUGCCGAACUCCCCCAGGGCCGGAAGGCAGCAAGGGUAGGUGAGCUCUGGCGGGUGCACGGGGGGUCCUUGCG
rnacentral:SRP_RNA from 1 species